rnacentral:rRNA from 1 species
UGGGGAAUUUUGGACAAUGGGCGAAAGCCUGAUCCAGCAAUGCCGCGUGUGUGAAGAAGGCCUUCGGGUUGUAAAGCACUUUUGUCCGGAAAGAAAUCCUUGGCUCUAAUACAGUCGGGGGAUGACGGUACCGGAAGAAUAAGCACCGGCUAACUACGUGCCAGCAGCCGCGGUAAUACGUAGGGUGCAAGCGUUAAUCGGAAUUACUGGGCGUAAAGCGUGCGCAGGCGGUUUGCUAAGACCGAUGUGAAAUCCCCGGGCUCAACCUGGGAACUGCAUUGGUGACUGGCAGGCUAGAGUAUGGCAGAGGGGGGUAGAAUUCCACGUGUAGCAGUGAAAAUGCGUAGAGAUGUGGAGGAAUACCGAUGGCGAAGGCAGCCCCCGGCAAGUAACUGACGCUCAUGCACGAAAAGCGUGGGGAGCAAACAGGAUUAGAUACCCUGGUAGUCCACGCCCUAAAACGAUGUCAACUAGUUGUUGGGGAUUCAUUUCCUUAGUAACGUAGCUAACGCGUGAAGUUGACCGCCUGGGGAGUACGGUCGCAAGAUUAAAAACUCAAAGGAAUUGAC